GCCCCCUUUGGGGACAUCCGAUAAAAUUGGAACGAUACAGAGAAGAUUAGCAUGGCUCCUGCGCAAGGAGGACACGCAUAAAUCGAAAAAUGGAUAACAAAAUA